CCGUUUGUAUCACCAGACGACCCUAAGGCUCUGAAUAAAGCAGCGAGCCUGACAAUGUAACGAAGUUUGGCAUUGUGCCAAACGGGAGCAGAACCGUGAGGGGAUGCUCCUCCUGAUAACCACGAAUUGGGUGAGUGC
rfam:Vibrio metschnikovii CIP 69.14 VIB.Contig140, whole genome shotgun sequence.